rnacentral:rRNA from 1 species
UACGAAGGGGGCUAGCGUUGUUCGGAAUUACUGGGCGUAAAGCGCACGUAGGCGGAUAUUUAAGUCAGGGGUGAAAUCCCAGAGCUCAACUCCAGAACUGCCUUUGAUACUGGCGAUCUUGAGUCCGGGAGAGGUGAGUGGAACUGCGAGUGUAGAGGUGAAAUUCGUAGAUAUUCGCAAGAACACCAGUGGCGAAGGCGGCUCACUGGCCCGGUACUGACGCUGAGGUGCGAAAGCGUGGGGAGCAAACAGG